rnacentral:rRNA from 1 species
AUUGAACGCUGGCGGCAGGCCUAACACAUGCAAGUCGAGCGGAGCGGCGGACGGGGGAGUAAUGCCUAGGAAUCUGCCUGGGAGUGGGGGAUAACGUCCGGAAACGGGAGCUAAUACCGCAACCUAUCGGAAGAGCCUAGGUCGGAUUGGCUAGUUGGUGGGGUAAAGGCCUACAAAGGCGACGAUCCGUAACUGGUCUGAGAGGAUGAUCAGCCACACUGGAACUGAGACACGGUCCAGACUCCUACGGGAGGCAGCAGUGGGGAAUAUUGCACAAUGGGCGCAAGCCUGAUGCAGCCAUGCCGCGUGUAUGAAGAAGGCCUUCGGGUUGUAAAGUACUUUCAGCGGGGAGGCGUUACCCGCAGAAGAAGCACCGGCUAACUCCGUGCCAGCAGCCGCGGUAAUAC